AUUGAACGCUGGCGGCAGGCCUAACACAUGCAAGUCGAGCGAGCGGCGGACGGGUGAGUAAUGUCAGGGAAACCGCCUGAUGGAGGGGGAUAAAUACUGGAAACGGUAGCUAAUAACUCAUACCAUCAGAGUUGCCCAGGUGGGAUUAGGUAGUAGGGGGGGUAACGGCUCACCUAGGCGACGAUCCCUAGCUGGUCUGAGAGGAUGACCAGCCACACUGGAACUGAGACACGGUCCAGACUCCUACGGGAGGCAGCAGUGGGGAAUAUUGCACAAGGGGCGCAAGCCUGAUGCAGCCAUGCCGCGUGUAUGAAGAAGGCCUUCGGGUUGUAAAGUACUUUCAGCGGGGAGGCGUUACCCGCAGAAGAAGCACCGGCUAACUCCGUGCCAGCAGCCGCGGUAAUAC
rnacentral:rRNA from 1 species